CCUACGGGAGGCAGCAGUGGGGAAUAUUGGACAAUGGGGGAAACCCUGAUCCAGCAAUGCCGCGUGGGUGAAGAAGGCCUUCGGGUUGUAAAGCCCUUUAGGCGGGGAAGAAGGUUAUAGGGUGAUAAGCCUUAUAACUUGACGGUACCCGCAGAAUAAGCACCGGCUAACUCUGUGCCAGCAGCCGCGGUAAU
rnacentral:rRNA from 1 species